UGACGGUACCCGCCACCCUAGGAGGGCGGAAGGAAAUUAGGCCCGCACGGGCUUGGAACGAUGAGAAAGGGAGGGCGCUCAGGUUUUGCUCACGCACAUGAAAAUUGCAUGAGACUAGCCAUAAACAGCUUAGCUGUAAAAAAAAACAAUUGAAAAACGAAGGAUGUGCAGUGUAUGCUCAAUCAUUCCACAUUAUUCUGCAACACAAUUGUUCUGAUACAGUCUCUGCCUUAUGCGUCCGCAUCCUCCAGUAUAUCGACCAUGUUUGUUAUCACGUGAUGGCCCCGGCAUGACUGGCCUUGGGUUAAAGGCCAGCAAAGCCGCCGUACAACUGUAGGCAUGUGGUGACGCGGUGCUGCAAGCGCCAUUGUUUCGGGUCCACCAAUGGACAGCGGUUAGAUUGACGACGCAAAGCUUCGGCCCAUCGUUCAACGAACAUCUGGAAUGCGUUGUCCGCGCUGAGUCACCGCUCACGAUUGCAGUCACGUUGCAAAGGCCGAGCUCCUGACAGUCUGAUUGAGGCACGGCCCCGGCCGCAGCGGCACAGAGCCGUGGAAUCGACAUAUACCGGUGUUGACCCACAGCAGCCUCUCUGCCAUUGGUCCUCCUCGAAGCACAACUGAACCACCAGCCAACCACGAAUGGAUCUUUGAGUGUUCAGCGGGUGUUCCUAAUCCAUCAGCAGGGCUUCUGUGGGUACCACCACCUAAACGGAACACCUUUGAGAACGUGUACCGCCCACCUAAUUGAACUUAUGUGGCACGAGAUUAAAAGCGUGGCAAAGUAGUGAUGAACCGACGCACAGUGCACCUAAUCUCGGACAUCGAUUGCCGACAAGAGCCUGCUGAAUAUAUAACCAGCGACACGUACCACGAGAAUGGUACAUCGCCAGCGACACUGAGAUUUUUCGUGAUCUGCUGUUGGCAGGGCUACUUGUAAACCACUCUUCAAAGCUGUUCUAAAGUAAGAUACUACAUAUUACUCCAGUUUAAGUGAGCACUGUGCCUUCAAGAACACUGUCAUGUUUUAAUAAUAUAGUCAAGUUACCCAUCCAGUUGGAUAAAAAAGAGAACUGGUUGGGAAAACAUUGCAAAGUUUCUGCCAUUGCGCGCAGUUCUGUACCCGCGCUUGCAAGUACGUAACCUGUGGUCGGUACUCUUCAGUGCAAUAAUGUUAGGUUACUGCGGAGGCGCACUUUCAUCGGUUUUCAAAUUUUCAAAUGGGUGCGUUAUUCUUUCUUCUUUUUUUUUGUUUGCCUGUUUGUUUCAUUCGCGUUGUCCGAAAUUUUUGCUGUUGUUCGUUGUUUACAGACAGGAAUAUAAACCAUACCGCACCAAUUUAUUUUACUCCUUAUUUUUCGUUUGUUGGAGGCUGACAAGAGGUAAACUUAAGAAAAAAGCGGCGAAAAAUGAGGAUUCGUUCGGCAGCUCUACGUAUUUUCGAUCCUAGCAAAAAAAGAAAGAAAAGAAGAACAGGGCUGCAAGAAGGAAUGUAGAGAAAGUGGCCACUAGACAGACCUGUUAAAGAUGUGUAGUAAAUAAAAUCCAUGGGAUAAUUAGGGUUGUAUAUCCAAGUAUGCAGCGCCUCACUUGUGUUUUGCACUGCGGACUUCGUGAGAUGUAACUGAGCCUUCUCUUUAAAACCUCCUUCGCAAAUAGCACACAAGGAACUCUUGCAGCAAAAAGUACUGCUUAUAAAUUGUAACUAGCAUUUUUCUGUAGCAUCGUGGGCUGCAACUAGAUGUUGAUUAAGCUCUCUUUUGUAGCACCCUUAUUGUUGUUAUUUUUGCCAUGUCACUGUGCAUUUAAUUUGAUCUGGCUCCAUGAAAAAUGGAGCAGAUGAUGCUUUUCCUACCUCUAUAUCUGGCCGCAUUCUAUUUAUAGCGUACCAGAUCAGGGGUUUAUAUUUUCCAUAUCAACCAAUCAGGUCUCGAUUAUUGUA